rfam:Actinokineospora spheciospongiae strain EG49 contig1266_7, whole genome shotgun sequence.
CUUGAUCGACCCCAGCCACAGCGGUUCGGUCCGGUCCUGCCCGUAGGUGGCGAGAACGGCCUGCGCCUC